UAAAUGCCGAGCACAAUGAUGGCUUAACGAAGUGCAAAUUUCAGUUGUCUCUUCCAUCUAAAUCUGGGAGAAGUCUUUCUUUUAAUUUUCACGCACAGGCCCGGACCCUAACCCCUCUGCAGCUAAGAAGAAAUUCGUCUGUAGAACUUAAGGGUUUUCAUCGCGCGAAAACGAGAGGUCCUUGGUGGCAAGAGCCCAAACGCUGAUGCAAGCCUCGAGGACCAAUCACAGAGACGAGGAGGCAGGAACAAAUGGGGGUUGAAGGUCGGACGGAAGUUCUCAAAGCUUCCGGUGGCCGACUUGAGCGGGAGCAAUGGCUAAACAUCAUCCGGACUUGAUAUUUUGCCGCAAACAGGCUGGUGUUGCCAUCGGAAGACUGUGUGAAAAAUGUGAUGGCAAGUGUGUGAUCUGUGACUCCUAUGUGCGGCCCUGCACCCUGGUGCGCAUAUGUGAUGAGUGUAACUAUGGCUCUUACCAGGGGCGCUGUGUGAUCUGUGGAGGCCCAGGAGUCUCGGAUGCGUAUUAUUGUAAGGAAUGCACCAUCCAGGAGAAGGAUAGAGAUGGUUGCCCAAAGAUUGUCAAUUUGGGGAGUUCUAAGACAGAUCUCUUCUAUGAACGCAAAAAGUAUGGCUUCAAGAAGAGGUGAUUGAUGGGCCUCUUCCUCCCCCAAUCAAGGUGCUCCAGCUUCCAGAAAAAAACGCCUACUACCGCCAGCAGAGACAGAUUGACAGAUUAGUUCUUGGUUUUUCUUGAAUUCAAGGAGUCUGCUUCCCAAAUUGGUAUGUUCUCUCUACACCAAGAGCUUCUAAAACAGGAAUAAAAGCAUUUCAGUCUUGUGUUUGGGGAGUUGACUCUGAAGCUACUGCAGUGAGAAGCAUGUUCCGACAGCAGCUUGGAUGGUAGUUGUCCUUCGUGGAACAUCUGCAGUGGGGAGGGGAGCUCUUCCAACAAUGUGGGCAUUUCAUCUUGUUAACACUUAACCAGGUGGUACUGGCGCAUGUUAUGUCUUCUGAGAAACUGGAAAGCCUUUCUGUUGCUAUUGUAUUAAUAAAGUAGGUGUUUAUUUUCUUGUAGUCACCAUGCCAAUUGAAAUUUAACUCUAGGAAGUUAUUAUAGCCACCCAGGAAUUUGUGAUCCAACAUAGAAGUAUUGGGGUUCAUUAGCACCUUGUUCUCUUAGUACUAUUGUAAAGAAAUCAAAACCAUCCGUGCCUUUCAUUACAGGUAAACCAAUGUCAUUUUUAGAAACUUACUUGUUUUUCUUCCAGUCCAACUUUAAUUUUGAAUUGAAGAGAUGGCUCCCAGUAAUGGUGAAGGUAAUGAAUGAGACAAGAUGUAUUCAAAUUGAUGAGUUAGGAGAACUGAACUCAAUUCGUUUCAUAAAGUGCAUAUAUACUCACAUUAAGGAUGUUUCUUUGCUCUCUCUUUUUUAAGUGGCAGGUUAAGGACAAAUUCAGACAUAUCCUUUAUCUUUACUCAGCUAUCUAUACUUUCUGCCCAGUAGAGGUGAUGAGCAAGUUACCUUUUAGGAGGCACAUUCAUAAUUUGAAACUUC